GACGGGGGAUGCCAGCGUUAUCCGGAAUCACUGGGCGUAAAGCGUCUGUAGGAGGUGAUGCAAGUCACUGGUGCAAAACUCUGGCUCAACCGGAGGAAAGCCAGUGAAACUGCAUGACUAGAGUGUGGGAGAGGUAGAAGGAAUUCCCUGAGUAGCGGUGAAAUGCGUAGAUACAGGGAAGAACACCGGAGGCGAAAGCGUUCUACUGGAACACAACUGACAAUGAGAGACGAAAGCUAGGGGAGCGAAUGGG
rnacentral:rRNA from 1 species